UCAGAUGAGGAGGACAGAAAAAGUUUGUGGCAGAGAAGGACAGAAGGAAAAGGAAUUCAAGAUUUUUCAAAACAGGUGCCAAGAAGCAGACUUUCUUUCCUUGCUGCAGACAGCAGAUCAAACUGGAAAAGAAAAACUGGCCUUCUUUUAGCCUGUUUGAAUGCUGAGGCAUUGGCUGAGUUUGGCAGUAGUUCCCCAUCUCUGCUGUAUCCCAGCUAUCCCUCCAGCGCUGUCGUGGGAAAAGUGUUUCUGCAAAUGCUCAUUUCUGGCAAAACACAUAGGUGCAAAGUUAGGGACAGUUGUGAAAGAAAUCUAACCAACAAAUGGAGCUCAAACAGGAGGAAACACUGGAGAAGGAAAUUAAAGAAGGAGAAGGACUGUUAAAGAACAGUUCCAAUGAUUUGGAUGUGCCACAGAAACAUCCUUGUCCCAACCACUGUGUAUCUCACUGGAAGAAACUACCACAGAUCUCUGUGGUAGGCACUGUGCUUCCAUGGCAUUUUAAAGGAACAGAAUUUUCUGGAUCUUCCCCUUCUUAGUUAAUACCCAGGCACACCCUCACACAAACCAUAUGUUAAUAACUUCAGACCACAAAUUUAAUUUAGCUUUCCACCUGACAUCACUCCUGGUCACAUGGCACAGACCCAUCCGUAAACAAAACGGGGAUUCAUUUCCAUAGCAACAGCGAGGGGGACUUUGAUCAGCUCCAAUGAUUAUUUGUAGGCACACAGACACCAAAACCCUGAGUGAGGGCUGAUUACCUUGUUUUUUUAAAUGCAGGCAGUUCCGUUGGUUUAUACAAGCAGGAACACGAGGUAGAGGCACUCAGAGCUCCCUGGGAAAGGCAAACGAAGCCACUGGUCAUUAGCCUGGUGUCCCUUCCAGUUCCUUGGGAAUCUGUACAUUCCUAAUGCCUCCAAUGUGAUGUGUGUGUCCUGUGACCAAUAAAGUGUGUUCUUUGUGCUCCCUGGCAGAUGUGCAGGUUCAGGCAGCGGGUGCAGGUGUUUUUGGGGCUGGCUCGUGUGGGAUGAGGAGAGGUGGGAGCUUGUGGUUUGACAGGUAAAAAAAAAAAAAAAAAGAGGAAGAAAAAGAAUCUGAACAAUGUGUUGAAAAAGACUCCAGUCAGAGCUCCUCAGGACCAGCUGUUUUUUUCUAAUUAGAAUAACAAAAAUAGCACAUGCUAAAAUGUUUUUUGUUUUUUUCUCAAAAGCCAUGAAUGCUUUAGGAACUAUAAGGAAACAGCUCUAAAACCUAUUUAAAUGAAGGAAUGUUUCAGGAGCCAUAUGGAGAAGAAAAAGAAAAGGCGAAAGUAGAGAAAUGUUUUAUUUUUAGCUAAAUCUGAAGCAUUUCGAUUCUUCAUCCAAUGUUACACAGAAAUUGUCUUACUUCUAAACUUCCAAAAAUGUCAGUGCUGAUGCUUAUUGUAUCAUGGCUUAAAGGAGACAGUUAAAAUACUCAGUGCCUUUCAGUGGGGUGUUCUUCCAGGCACUGGAAAUUUGAAAGUUCCAUUCCGUGCCCUGAACAUGCAUUGAGAUAUAUUCCUAAGAUCUGUCUGUGCUCUGGUAAUGUAUGAGAGCUGCACGUAAUGAAGGAUGUGACAAACACUCAAAACACACCCUGUAUCAUCAGUCUUUGCUCCUCUUUUUUCUUCUUUUUUUUCCCCCUCCCCCCUUUUCCUGAAGUGCUAAUGAUUCAAAACUUUCACUACAGGAAUAACAUUUGUAACAGCUCUGGCAUUCUGGACAUCUGCACUGCUCGAGUACUUCAGAAUAAAGUCACAUGGCCAUGGGGAAAUUUCACAGAAUUCAAAUCACAGGGACUUGCCAAGGUGUAUAACGAGUUUGUUUUCAGCUGUUCUCCUCAUGAAUAAUUACCAGGCAGGCAUAUCCUAAAGCGAGCACAAGCUGUCAUUUCCCCAGAAAUAUUCAAUAUUUAAAACAGAAUUUCGAAUUUAGAAUUUCAUAAAUGAAAAUAAUUAACAGCCCAGGCAAAACAACCCAGUCCAAGUGCUGUCAGGUACCUCCUGCCUUUCCAAGAGGCUUCCCAGGACCAGCACGUUGGAGCCACAUUAAAUUAUUUUUGCAACGUAAAGAAAAUUAUGCAAAUGUAAGGGAAUUGCAAGUAUAUUUUUUUUUUUUUCCCCCCCUAGAACUAAUACUUUGCUAUCAUUUUACUGACUGUUCCUUUACAGAAAGGGAAAACACAGUAGGAUCCCAAGGCUUCCAUCUGUUUUAGUCCCUUCGGAUCAAAGCUGCUCGUGGGUUCUUUUCCACCACCAUACACAGGAGCCAACAGCAGCGCAGAGCUGGACAGGAAGGAUAAGGGGGGGGGAUAAGAUGCAAGGGAUGGGAUGCACUUGACCUCAAAGCCUUCCUUAGACCCUUUACUCCCAUGCAGGUCCCUAACUGGAAGCUCAGACCUGUGUUGUUCCCUUGGGAGAAGUUGGGAAGGACUCACGGCACAGGGAGGAGGGGCCAUGGGAACAUGAGCAGCUCCAAGGGAUCCUGGUCUCACUGCCCCUCCAACAGCUUCCAGAUCAGCUGUGACCUCUCUGUUAUUCCAGCAAAUGUCUGCUCACAUCCUUGGAUUUUCUGCUUUUGCAUCCCAGGGGGGAUGAAAAAAGGGGAGAUUGGGAGCCAAGAGAAAAGCACCCUCGCCUUUCACAUGGGGUUUAAUGUUGGCACGUUAUUGUAACAUUAUGAAAAUCUUUAUUGGAGCUUGAAUAAUGCCCUGAAAUAGAUAUUGUGCUGGUUAAUAAAUUACAUUUUCAAAUGAGAGAGAUUUUAUCACCAAAACAUCUCAUGAUUAAUUUCUAAUGUGAAGCUUAUGGCCCGAACUUAAAACAUUGCAUUUCGCAUUUGUGUUCAAAGGUUGAGCACUUAGGAAAGUUUUUAUAAGAAACUCGCUGUAUUUUUUUCCCCAUAUUGAAAAAAAAAUCACUAACCUGUUAAUCCACUAU